UGAGGAAGAGCGGGGCAUGCAGACCCAGGAACUAACGCCUGCAACUUGAAGCCUGUGACAAAAGAAGUCCCCAGGACUCCAGCCCCAGGGAAGCAGAUCUUCUCCUAGGUGUGAGAAUCAAGACAAUCUACUCCACACUCAGCCUGGGCACCAGAUCCCUUCUGGAGCUGGUCCUAAUUGCUUUUCACAGAGGAUGCAAACUGGAAAGUUCCUACCUAUUCAGCGAAGGCACUCCAAGUCCUGGGCUCUUUUCUCCUCGGGGGCAAAGAUGAGACUUCUCUUCUGUAGAGAUCACAGGUGCAUCUGUACAGGUUGGAGUGCUCCCCCAACCCUGGACCCCUAGGAGCAGCCGUGAUUUGUGACACAAGGCCCCACCCGUUGAUCUACUCUUCACACAGCCGUGGAGAGCCAAGAACUGGGAGGGAGGUGAGUCAGUGAUGAAUUUUUCUUGAACAGCAAAGACCAAUUGGUGGUUCGCCUUUUUAGUAAAUUCCAAGAUUCUGGAGUCAUUUAAGUCCAAAGGGGAAAUUUGUGAGACUGGGGGAAGGGGAAGUAGUGAGAAAAUAGAAGCAACAAAAAUAUGCCUCCAGUGUUCUCACUGCUCAUUAGACCAGCACAGAGCCAGUUCUUGUAUGGCCUGAAUAACUGGUACUUUUUAUAAGCAACUGAAGAGCUAUAAAAAGCUUAACAUUUAAGAAAACAACAAACAGCUGUGGCUAGUGAGCAAGGAAAAUCUGAAGAGUGAGCCUGUCUGGGUGGCAGGAGGUCACACUGCUUCAUGAGGAAGUACUAAAACAUCACUAACAUUUGCUACAUCAGUGUGUUUCCCUGGUUGGUCACACUUCUCCUUCCCCCCACCUCAGCCCCACUCUCCUAUCAAAAUAGAAGAACAAAUAUACGUCACCAGAAUGCUCAGCAAUUAUUUCCUGAAAACAGCAUUUCUUUUACAUGCGCUUAAUCAUGUGUUAAGCAGCGGUACACACGAGGGGAUCCUGAUCAACAGAGUGAGCAAACACCCAUGUGUGAGUUUGGUUCCCAAUGCAUUUGGGCUGAGCCUCACUGACCCGGGACCCCUGGGCUUAGUUCACGUGCACCUUGAGGUUCUGCACAGCUGCCUUUCCCUUUAACGGAAAAUGCCAUCUGCAGGACCAGAGCUAGCAACAGGCAGCAAUAGCUCUCCCAACUUCCUCUCAUACUAAUCCAUAAUAAGCUCAAUGAUAAGGCAAUUACCAGUGGGAGGCAGUAAGGUAAAGUGAUCAAAUAUAUCGGCU
rnacentral:lncRNA from 1 species